AGUUUAGCCGGUUCCCUAUGAAACUAAUAAAAAAGAAAUUUACCGUGACGUAAAUCGUGUCCACAUUUGUGAAAUAUCGACAUAAAGGUAUUAAUUUAAACAUCGAACAUCCCUAUCAAGUGUUUUGGAUCAACACGCUUCAUUAUUAUUAAAUAGAACAUUCUCUACGAAAUAUAUUUAAUUAUUCGUGAUUGUGACUCGAAAUCAUGUCGGGAAAAGGUAAAUACCGCGCCAACCGCCAUCGCAACCAACACACACAUAUCUGCCGUUGCUAAGAACACAGCUAGCUCAGUGUCUCCGGAUAGUCCUAUACUGUUGAUGUUUAAAGACAUAGCUAAAAGACUGAAUGAGCACCAAGACAGACAUGAAAGGCUCUAUAAACUGUCCAGAGACAUCACUAUUGAGAGCAAAA